UGAGAAAAGAGGAGAGAUUCAGGUUGAGGUUGGCAUUCCAUCACUAAGACACAAUAUUGCUCUAUGAAGAAUAACAAAAAUGCAGAAAUUCAGUUAAGGGAAGUCGGUUUCUUUAUUUUGGAUUCCCAUUCUCAUGAGACUUGCUUUUACAAAACCAAAGAUACAAGCCAGUUGAGUAGAAGUUAGAAACUGAACUAGUUACUAAGGAUGGUAUUCUGAGAUUCUGACUUCAUCAAUGAACCUGCUCAUGGAGUAUCCACGUGAAGUCAUGGGCUGCAGAUACCAAGAAAUUUUCAGCAGGCAUGAGUGUAUUUGGGAGGCCCGUAAUAGAUCAGGAUGAAGGAGGUGGACAAGCCUACUGAAUGAGCUGAGCCUCAACCAAGUCCUUGACAGAGCGCCGCAGGUCUGAUAAAUAUCCCAAAUGACUCCUUCCCCGUGGAUGGCCUUCACAGACUGCAAAAGCAAUAGCACAACACAAUAUCUGCUGUAAACCUCC